rnacentral:lncRNA from 1 species
CUUGAAUUCAUGAAAUACCUUAGGAUCUAUCUUUUUCUUAUUUUAUUUUUGGGUAUGAAUAAACACUAUCGUCGAAUCCCACCCCUUGUGCAUCUUACAAUUUCAAUUUCAAUCCAAAAAUCAUUUCUGUCCAUCCAUUCUCUUUCUUCCCCUACCUCUUUAUAUUCUGACGACGGCUUCUCUUUCUACCUAACCCAUACUCCCAGGCGUCGAGAGCAGAGACAACGCUGACAGCUCUUCAAGGAGGUCAACAAGCUCCACCACUGUGCGGUGCUCUACAACGAUGAUUUGAGCGUCGAUGAGUUGUUCGCCACUACAAAGCCUAGCACGGCUCGUGCUUUCAUGGCCAAUUAAGGUGGCACUAGGCCAGUUAGCCAUUUGGGCUUCACUUGAAGGUGGAACUGUAACGAUAGGAGUUGUGUUCGAGUUCUACUGGCUAGGUGUUCGACUUGGUUUCAUCUGUAAGUAGAAUGGUGAGAGUGUUAGUGGUGGAGAAGGGGGUAGCGGCCCACCCAUCUAUUUGAGUUUCAGCACUUGGUGGAGUUGUGGGGAUGGUAUUGGUUGUAGGUUCGGUUGCCUGCCUGCCUGCCCAUCUGCUUGAGUUUCUGCAAUAGAUAGAGUUGGGGAGAUUGUGUUGGUAGUACGUUUGGUUGCCUUCUCUGCCGUUUGAGUUUUAGCAGUAGAGAGGGUUGACCGGAUGGGGAUAAUGGUGGUGGUCUGGCCAGUCGAUUGAGUUUUCAGUUGUAGGUGGAGUUGUGGAUGUGGGGGUUUUGCAUUCUUGGCCAAUUGAGUUUCUGCAUUCAAAUCUCUUGUAUCUGUGACCAAUCAAAGUGCAUGGGUCAUAGGUCACAUAUUCAAGUGAUUUGAUUAUAAGCUAUUGGAUCAGGUCACAUGUUACAGAUAUAAGAGAUUUGGUCACCUGCCAAUAGAUCAGGUCACAAUCACAUGUAAAAGGGCACACGUCAAAUUGCAUAGAUCACAGGUCACAGAUUCAAGAGAUUUGGUUAUAGACCCAAGAUAUUUCUUCACGUGCCAUUGUAACAGGUCAUAGAGCACAUGUCGAAUGCAUAGGUCACAUGUUAUUGAUUAAAGGGAUUUAGUGAUAGACUUUUGGCUUAGGUCUCUCGUUACAGAUGCAAGAGAUUUAGUCACAGGCCAUUUGAUCAAGUCGCAGGUCAUAUGUCGAAAUACAAAGGUCGCAUGUCACAAAUUCAAAAGAUCUAGUCACAUCCCAUUGAUUUCUUUAGUCUCAAUUAUCCGAACUGAUCACAAAUUUAAUUAACCAUGCUUCCAUAGUCAGAA